CCUGUUCAAAGUAAGAGAUAGCAAAAUAUUGGUGAGUCUUGAAACAUGGACAUCGGUGUGGUUCACCAACUGUAUGUUUGGGCGAAUGCUGGGACAGUGGACUGUACUCCUAAGGGAAAACUCUUCAUCAUCAGGAAAACCUUAAACUUACCGACUCAGCAAUCGAGUCGGAGAUUGUUUAAAGGGGAGACAGAAGACAACUUGGAAAGUGACAGAAGGCAAAAAUAGAAGAACACUCCCUAUGGUGCAUACUUAUGCCAAGAUCAUUGCUAUAACAAUUGUAAAGGCCCAUUCUCAUGAAACAGUAUCUACUCAAUCUACCCUCCCUGCCUGCCUGCCUGCCUGCCUGCCUGCCUGCCUGCCUGCCUG